rnacentral:tRNA from 1 species
GUCGUCGGCGGUGGGCGCCGUGCCGACGGGCUUCAAACCGAUGCCGGCCAAGAUGUUCCCCCGGGG